CAGUCGCCGCGGGAAUACAGAGGAUGCAAGCGUUAUCUGGAAUGAUUGGGCGUAAAGCGACUGUAGGUGGCUUUUCAAGUCUGCAGUCAAAUCCCAAGGCUCAACCCUGGACAAGCGGUGGAAACUACCAAGAUGGAGUACGGUAGGGGCAGAGGGAAUUUCCGGUGGAGCGGUGAAAUGCGUAGAUAUUAGGAAGAACACCAGUGGCGAAGGCGACUUUCUGGACGAAAACUGACGCUGAGGCGCGAAAGCCAGGGGAGCGAACGGGAUUAGAUACCCCCGUAGUCCCUGUCUCUUAUAC
rnacentral:rRNA from 1 species